rnacentral:rRNA from 1 species
AUGUCAGACACCAGCUCUCCUUCUCUAGUAACUACUGAACUGGCUGUUGCAGACUGCGAGCUGCCUCUGCAUCAGUGGAGCCUGCUUGGCCAUCUCUCUGGCCUCACUGAAUUAAGGAUGGAACGGUGUGGUGAUCUGACCGGCACACCAGAGAUAAUCCAACAUCUCUCUUCCCUCAAAGGUCUAAGCCUAACAGGCAAGGAACAUGAAGAACUGCCGAAAUGGUUGGGUGAGCUCACAUCCCUUGAGAGGCUGUGCAUAGAUGCAUACACAGGGAUAAAGGAAUUGGAUGAGAGCAUAAGGAAACUAACAAAGCUACAAGAGCUAAAACUGUACAACUGUAACAGCAUGUCAUCGUUGCCCCAUUGGCUGACAGAAUUAACCUGUCUCAAUACUCUUGUGAUCAAUUUUUGUGAGGGCAUCAGGUCUUUGCCGGAGGGCAUAGAACAACUCACCAACCUCAAGAAACUGAAAAUUAACUGCCCUUAUUUACAGAGGUAG